GAUGAACGCUGGCGGCGUGCCUAAUACAUGCAAGUCGAGCGAACGGACGAGAAGCUUGCUUCUCUGAUGUUAGCGGCGGACGGGUGAGUAACACGUGGAUAACCUACCUAUAAGACUGGGAUAACUUCGGGAAACCGGAGCUAAUACCGGAUAAUAUUUUGAACCGCAUGGUUCAAAAGUGAAAGACGGUCUUGCUGUCACUUAUAGAUGGAUCCGCGCUGCAUUAGCUAGUUGGUAAGGUAACGGCUUACCAAGGCAACGAUGCAUAGCCGACCUGAGAGGGUGAUCGGCCACACUGGAACUGAGACACGGUCCAGACUCCUACGGGAGGCAGCAGUAGGGAAUCUUCCGCAAUGGGCGAAAGCCUGACGGAGCAACGCCGCGUGAGUGAUGAAGGUCUUCGGAUCGUAAAACUCUGUUAUUAGGGAAGAACAUAUGUGUAAGUAACUGUGCACAUCUUGACGGUACCUAAUCAGAAAGCCACGGGUAACUACGUG
rnacentral:rRNA from 1 species